GGCGCGAGGGGAGGCGGAGGAGGGGGCCCGGGCCGGGGGCGCGCGCGGGGAAGGCAGGGCGCGGGGCGCCUCAGCCUCGGCCCUCCCCGCCCCUGGGGCGCCCCGGGACCGCCGCCUGCCUGGGGCUGGAGCUUUGUUCUUUCCCUCCCAACUACCUGUCUGAGCCGCGGGCCGGAGGGUCCCCAAAGGAAGGGCCGCUGCUCCCGGAGGGGCUUCCCAUCGACACCCAAGGGUAGCGCCCGCGUCUCCCUGCCUCCCUGCCUCCCCGCCUCCCCUCUCCUCUCUUCCUCUUUUGUUGCCUCUACUCCUGGACACGACACAGCCUGGGCUGUCUCCCUCCUCCCACUCGGGAGUUGGCAGUGUGGACGCACAGCGAACACAUUCUGUACUCAGCGAUGCCAUGUGGGAAGCUUGAGAUCUGCCAUUUUGAGAGUCCUUACACCAUGGAAACUGGACACAGUGCAGACCAGGACAUUUUUUCUUUUUCUGAAGUCAGUUGUUAAAGAUUUACCAGCAUCCAUCCGCUCAGGAUCCUCUUAGACCACAGUUCAUUUCCCCUGAGACAACCUUCCAAAGCCUGAGGCCUGAACAUCUGUGAUAAUCUAAAUAGCCUCUUUCCUGCUAACAAUCAGCUAAGAAGCACUCUCGCUUUCUGACAGCAUCAAAGACACUUGAGUCAUUGAACCGCAUCUCACCAGGGCGUCAGGGAUGGUUGGCUCAUCUGGAUUCUGGAUGCUUUUCCAUCCGCAGCAGCGGCUCCUUCCAACCACAUGACCUCGAAUCAAUUUACCAGAAAUUAAUCUGGACAUGGAACAACAGAC